UUAGAUAUACUUGGGGUGUUGCUAUCGUAUAUACCAUUUGAUUUCCCUCUAAAACCAAAAUUUAAGUGAGAAAAAACUUCCCAAAAUCUCCCGUUCAUACUAAAAUCCCUUCUGAAUACAUCAUCAUCAGAUUCAUAGUCCACCUAAAAGUGAAAACCCUAAAACCCGUGGGAGAUAGGGGGAUCACAUAUAUUGUCGUUUGAUCCAAUUCACCUGGUAUGGUUUCAAACUUCAGUUCUUGCGAUUGCUAUUAUGUUCUUACUAUCAAUAAUUUUAAUUAAGCGUUGGUUUGCUAUUAUGUAUCUUCCAUACAUCUUGUAUUGAACAUUAUUUAGGUGUUUAAUUUUGACCUCUUUAAGAUCCUUUGAUUGUUAUAGAUGUCGAUCUUAUAAUGUUUGUUUUCUGCUUCAUGUUUAUUCAUUACGGUUGAUGAAAUUAAGCAUUGGAUCGGUAUAUCUUUCACUUUUUAGAAAAUAAGUGAUGUAUUAUGUAUUUUGUGUGCCAAUAUUAACCUCUUUAGCCUCCUUUGUUUGUUAUAGCCUUCGGUUAUUAUGAUAUUUGCUUCUGGUUUCAUGUUUAUUAAUAAAGUCGUUGAGAUUAAGUGUUGAAUCACCAAAUCGAUGUAUGUAUUACUUUUUAGAAAGUAAAUGAUGUAUAAAAUGAUGUAUUAUGUAAUUUGUUUGAUAAUUUCAACGUCUUUCAUCUUCUUCGAUUGUUUCAGCAGUUGAGUUUCAUGAUUUGAGCUUCUUGCUUUAUGUCAAAUUAUGUUAUUGGUUGAAAUUAAACUGCAAAUCAAUAUGUUUACCUUUUGGAAAACAAAUUGAUGUGUUAUUUUUACCCCUUUUCGCUUCUUGGAUUGUUUGCUUCCUGUUUCAUGUUUAUUCAUUAUGUAUGUUGAAAUUAAGCAUUAAGUUGGUGUGUCCAUUAGUCUUUAGGAAAUAAAUGAUGUAGUAUGUAUCAGGUUUAUUAAUAUAACCUUUUUAGUUUUUUCAAUUGUUAUAGCCGAAGACUCUCAUGAUAUGUGCUUCAUGUUUAAUUAUUAUAGUAGUUAUACUUAAGCAUCAAAUUGGUAUGUCCAUUACCUUUUAGAAAACAAAUUGAUGUGUUAUUUCUCAUAUCUUUUGGCUCGUUUGAUUGUUAGACCACCCGGUGUGGGGCAACGCCCCCGUUGCCCCAGCCACCCCAGCUGGGUGGCGCCCCAACACCUUCCAUGCUCUGCCAAGAUGAGGGAGCUAUGGUUGCUCAGCCUUGUUGAUGGCGAGCAUUAAAGGGGGAGGAGGUGGGGACCAACCAAUCAGGUUUGUUUUUUUAUUUCUUUUAUUAUAUAGUUAACGGGGGCUUUAUUCCACACCGUGCAAGUUGAUGAUAAAGCCCCCCCACUUACGUGGCGUGAUAAAGCCACCAGGGGCUUUAUCCCACACCGUAUAGCCUUAUAGUUCCUAUUCUUAUGGUUUGUGUUCCUGCUUCAUGUUCAUUAAUUAUAUGUGAUGUCAAUUUGUUGCUCAGUGCCCCCUUAAUGAUUCUUUUCUGGUGUGGACUAUAUCUUGUGGUAGAGACCAUUAGUUUGAAACUUUGAUUAGGGUUAAUCUAACCAUUCCAUCUGAAACUUUAUAUUUUAAUUCUUGGACUUUUAAAUAUAGACGAGUAGAAUUCUAAGUCAUUAUGGUGAUCAAUUUCGGUUCAAAACAGAUCCUACCAUGUAAAUGACUCAAAGAACAAUAGGUUGCCCUGUAAUUCGUGGACUUUUCACAUGAUGUAAGCAAAGUGCUUUUGGAUUAGGAAUUUGUUAUUUUGAAAGCAUUGACUUUUUGCCUAAUUUUCUUGGUUAUUUAAAAUUUAGUAAUGCUGGAAUGGCUGAUCAUCUUCCUUCACUGACCUUUAUUGCUAUGAAAUACUAGUUUUUACUUGCUUAGCAUGCUAUAAAUGACAUUAAAAGGAAUCUUGUUAGUCUGAUGUUCAUGUUACUGUAUAGACAAGUAUAAAAGAGUGACAAAUGUAGCUUAUUUAACUUACCAUCUUUGCGCCUUGCGUACGAAAAGCUCAUCGCUUUUGCGCUUUGCGCCUCGGUUUAGACCUCGUCCCUUUUGUGUGCUUCCCGAUUUUUUUAAACCAAGCUCAUGGCAGAUCAUCGUUCUGAUAAGGUGUGAGUACAGAUAAUGUUUCUGUUAAAAGUGUGGAAUCGGAAUCAGCUGGUGUGGCAAAUCAACAUUCUGAUGCUGCAAAUAAACAUUCAGAUAAAGGUGACAUAAUAGCUGAAGUUGCACUUGAAAGUUUGAAACCGAAAGGUGGUGUAGAGAAACAGCCAGAUAAAGAUGAAACUAUAGCUGCAGUUGCUCGUGUUGCGGAUGAACAUUCAGAUAAAGGUGACAGAAUAGCUGAAGUUGCAAUUGAAAGUCUGAAAUCAGAAGGUGUUGCAGAUAAACGUCCGGAUGAAGGUGAAAGUAUAGCUGAAGUUGCUCUAGAUGCUUUGAAAUCAAAAGGUGUUGCAGAUAAACAUUCAGAUGAAGCGGCUUCUGGAUCAACGGUGGAGGUUAAUAUUAAGGCACACAUGUCACUCUUCUUCAGUCCCCGCUUAUCCUCUUUUUUUUCUUUUGUAAAUAAAAAACAGAUGUUAGUUUCAACAUUCAAGGAGACUAUAGCUAGUGAAGUCGGCCUUCCAGUUGAUCAGCAGCGGCUGAUUUUUAGAGGCAAGGUGUUUAAAGAUGAAGACCGUCUUUCAGAAUACCGUAUCCUAUAAUCAUGUCACAUAGUAUUAGGUUGUCAAGUGUAGAAUGUGUGUGUGUAUAUAUAUAUAUAUAUAUAUAUAGAGAGGUAUAUAGAGGAAGGUUAACAUACAAAAAGCCUUAUCAUACUUCACGUACGCGACAAGCAGAACCAUCAGAUCAGGGCCAUAAUCACGCAUGGAUCAGUUAAUCACGCAUGGGAGCAGUUAUUUGGUGUUAAUCACGCAUGGAGGUGUUAAUCACGCACGUUAUAAUGUACAAAAAAUAAUAAUCACACACGUUAUGUUUUUGGUCACGUAGGUUAAUGUAGGUUAAGCAGUUUUGUACAUUAUACUCUCUAUAUAUGUUUGUACUAUGGUUUCAGCCUUGGCGAUUUAUAGAUGUUGAAAGUGGACAUACACUGCAUCUAGUGAAUAGACAACCAUCUGAAUUUCAACCCUCAUCAGGCUCUCCCAAUGUGGAGACAGCUGCAAGGAAAGCAACGCAGGACAAGAUGAUAAUGUGACCGGUACACGUCCUCGCGUCGGGCAUGUCUCACAUAGUGUAGUUCUUGGGACAUUCGGCGUAGGAGAGCAAGAUGAAGGCGACAGUCCAGAUGUAAAUCAGGGCCUCAUCGCUAGUACCAGCACAAUGCAACCACACAUGCAGUUCAGUAUGCCCAUGCAAGUUGCUCUUGGAAAUGAGACGGGAAAUCAGUCGCAGCCUAGAAGUCCUCGUCAAUCAAUGCCUCAAGGGUAUCAAAUCCCAGUAGGAUCAGUGCCAGCUGUACCUACACUUGCGACGGUGGCUUUUUUACCAAACAAGAUAUUAAGAGCCUACCAUGUUUACAAUUACAGGUGAUGGCAAUUCCGACAACCAGGGGUAUUGAAAAAACCACCCAAUCUUUUGGCUGAAGAGCUUAAAGUGAUGUCAAAAGAAGUUGAGUAUAGCCAGUUGGCUGAUGUAGCGACAAUAAGUAGCAAGUGCUGGGAACUAUGAAGUGGAAUAUUACUACUAAGAAGGCGGUAACACGAUGAUUAUUUAACUCGCAUGAAGAUUGUGAAAGAGAUUCAUGAACACAAUGAAGUUUUGAGUUUUUAUUCAUACACUUAUUAGUUUAUUUGGAUUAUAUGUUUAAUCAUUAGACUUAGAUCGACACUUAUUAGAUAUUUGGAAUCUAUGGAAGAUUGAUUGAACUUUUAAUUGAAGUGAUUAUUUUAUGA